rnacentral:rRNA from 1 species
GUGAGGAAUAUUGGACAAUGGGCGCAAGCCUGAUCCAGCCAUGCCGCGUGCAGGAAGAAGGCCUUCGGGUUGUAAACUGCUUUUGUACGGAACGAAACGGUCCUGGUUAAUACCCGGGGCUAAUGACGGUACCGUAAGAAUAAGCACCGGCUAACUACGUGCCAGCAGCCGCGGUAAUACGUAGGGUGCAAGCGUUAAUCGGAAUUACUGGGCGUAAAGCGUGCGCAGGCGGUGCUGUAAGACAGGCGUGAAAUCCCCGGGCUUAACCUGGGAAUUGCGCUUGUGACUGCAGUGCUGGAGUGCGGGAGAGGGGGAUGGAAUUCCGCGUGUAGCAGUGAAAUGCGUAGAUAUGCGGAGGAACACCGAUGGCGAAGGCAAUCCCCUGGGCCUGCACUGACGCUCAUGCACGAAAGCGUGGGGAGCAAACAGGAUUAGAAACCCCGGUAGUCC